GAACGACCGGCAGACUGCCCGCGGAGGGUGGGGUGGGGGGUAACUCCUGCUGUUACAGCGGAAACGAUCGGCAGACAUUUUAGUUGCUCAGCCUGACCGAGAAAGCGCAGAUCCACGUUCAUGAUCCAAGAGAAGGGCAGGGCUACGAGGAAGAGCACGCCUCUCGGGCUGCUUGCUUUCUUGGCAGAGAGGAAUGGCCCUCGCUUUGCCCAGUAACCCUCCGCCACUUCCGCGAUAUUUCCUGCAAGGUAUUGAAAUGUAGGAGAACAAACCCAUCAGGAUAAGAUUCAGCAGUCCAUCUGCAUUUGAAAGACAAAAGCCACUCUUGAAGACAGCAAUCUGGACAGAGAGGACUGCAAAUUGAACAACAGAGGGACACCUAUCUGUCUCCUGUUUACAACAGUCCUUUCUGUAUUUCCUAAAAGGUUCCACACCCAUUUGCACUAUUCAGGUGACCUUGAGGGCACAGAUAAACUUCCAAGUGGCCUCAACAAUUCUCAGAAUGCUAGCAACCAGAUAACCACAAGGAAUAUAAAUCCUUCCAUUUCUCAACAUUCAGUCAGAACUGAAGAAGCUUUUUGGAUAUGAAGCAAAACGUCUUCAAGGAAAAUAAAAUCCAGUUGCCUCUUAAAAAACACCUUUGGGACAACUACCAGUAUGACCUGGAUGACUGAGAAUCUCCAUAAACAUGAAGAGUGAGUCUUUGGGGAAGGAUAUUCCACAAAGCAGGUACAGAAGCAGCAGGUGCAAUCCUCCAUCCACUUAACCUUUUGAAAAUGGACAACCACUAAAAUGUCAUUUAUCUUGAGCAGAUUGAAUGGUCUGUAGAUGCUUCAGAAGAAGUGCUAAGAAUGUGGUAAAAUAUUUUAACAUGACUUUCUAGUAAUUUUUUGUUUUCAGCCUGCCCCUCUUAAAAAAAACUGAACUUCCCAGUUACUCAGCAGGUUAACCCAGUGGUCUUUCAGUUGCAGUUGCCUGCUUCAAUGAAGAUUUAUUUGGUAUUCUGUCACGCUGCUACUUGUUUGUGAGGAACCUCCCUGCCACUUGCAUUCUAUCACUGCCCCUCUUUCCUCCACUUUCCCAUUUGCUCUGUUCUGGUCCAGGGAAGGAGAAUGUGAAAUGGAAUGUAUUCUUGCUUUAGGAUGCAGAAGGAAAUUUUAGAAUAUUUGAUUCACUGAAAAAGGAGUGAAUCUGGGAAGUUGUGAGAAGGUGCAACAGAUGACCCAUGCUCCAUGAAUUGUACAUCACUUUCAUCAGAAAUUUCUACAUGAGCUUAAUCCCCACGAUCUUUCACAAUUAUCAAUAGACAAUGAUACAGAGGAUUCUCUUAUUUCCAGUAUAGGGUGAUGUGCACAGGAGAUUUUCCAAUUCUGGCCAAUCCUACAUGGCAAGAUUUACUUCUUGACCUCAGGGAUUUGCCCAGCAAGGUGGAGAAGUAAGUCUGAUAGGAGAGGUGAUAGGGGUAUGGACAUAAGUUUGAGGAAACAAUGCAAGUAUGUUUAAUUAAAAGCAACUUAGCCCUGAGGAAAAAGAGAGAGAGAAAAAAGUGAAGAUUUUUUUUUUUUUGGUAUAAGGAAAGACAGAGAUAAAUUGUUAUCAGGUUGACAAUCUGUUUUAUCUAAGAUGUACACCAACCAUGACCUCAAUAAUCUUUAAAAAGGGAAAAUUAUAGCCUGGGAUUUAAGGAUGUCUUCUUAGGGAAGGGGCAAACCAUAGCUUCUUUCAAAACUGCUCUCAUCAAUCUCUACCAUAGUGAAGUGUUGAUUUUGUUGCCAUGUAUUUUGAGAGCCAGGAAAGUCUGCAGAGUAAUCUGACUGCCAACAGUUGCUAGUUCAUUUAGUUCAUGCUAACCUAGACAUUGGUGUCUGAAUAUAGGUCUUUUUAACAUUCAUAUUUUAUUGUAUUUUUAAAAUCUAGGUGAAAUGUUAAUAUAUAUUAUAAGUCCGUAACAAGUCCAUAUGGUAAAUAAAUAUAGUGAAGUGUAACUAUGUGCUGGAUCUCCUUCCCAAGGAGCCUUGGGGAGGAGGGUAAAAUCAAGCCUACAAAUAAUUGGAGACAACCAAAAGAAUAUCCUGCUACUUCAUCAGAAUUCAUAAGGCAAAAGCAUUUCCAGUUAAAUUGGCGAGAUGCAUACAGUACGUCUCACCACAAGUAGAUUCUUUCAUGCAUAGUCAAGAAUAAAUCUGAGUUCUCUUUUAUUCUAAUACCUUGUCUCAUAUUCCAUGAGGACAGUACUAAAAUGUUAUAUAAUGUUAAUGUAAUAUAAAGUUUAAAAUACAGUUACAUAUAAAGCAAAUGUAUAAAUACAUACUACUACAGAAUAAUUACAUUCAUUAGUAUCCAGUAAGAAGAGAUAAUCACUUCCCCAAAUUAAAUUGUCACGAGGUUAGCUAAAUGUACAUUAUAGAAUGUUAUACAUCUAUAUGUAUUGCACUAACCUGCCCACCCCCAAAAAACCUAACCAUUCUUACUACCAUUGCUCAUAUCUGAAUUGAUGGGAUCUCCAAUUAAAACUCCCUAUCUUCAAGCACUGUUCUAUCAUUACCUCUUUAGAAAUCCAUACACACCUUGAAAUGUGUGGUAUUAGGUUUAGAACAACAAAUGAAAUGGUUGGGUCAGGGAGUGGGAGGAAGUUAGGAAGGGAAAUCUUUAUGAGGCAUCCACAGUUAUUGUAUCAUCCUCUGUAAUUUUCUCUACUUCUUCAUCUUUUCCAUCUCAUCUUUAUUGAAAUUCCAAUUUGGGCCUCCACAAGUAGCAUUUGCAGCCUCUGCCCACCCCCCAUUUCUCCCAAAAGUUUUGAUCUUGCACUUUCUGUACCUUUUUCUUCCUAUUCCAUUUCACUCCUUAAUUUGCAUCUUUUCCAUCUGCUAUAUAUCCAUUCUUAUUUUUUUGUAUGAAUUACAGAUCAGUCAAAUAAUGGUCAAGUUUACUUGACCAGGAAUCUGCCACUACUUCCUAAAACUAUUUCAGUUUGAUUGUUUCCAGCUAUUUUGCAUUCCCAUAAUCAUUACAUCUCUCAAUCUUCUUGUUCCAGGAGUCCUGCCUCAUGUGGUUGAAAUUAUCUAGCACUUUACAGACUGUCAGCCACAGAGAGUAGGAAGCAUGGCAGUAAGUUAUACCUCUAGCCAAAAGCAAGGGGACGCAUGCAGUGCACACACACACUAAGCAGACAGAUGAUUCAGCCAAUGUCAAGCAUGUCAUUAAGGGAGGCUGCCAAGAGGAAGCUUUGGCUUGAUGGAAGAUCAGAAUGGGAACAACCUGUUGAGGAAUUCCUCUGUGUCUCGUUUCUGCCUGGGCUGUUAGUUUGAUUACUCGUAGGAGGAAAUAAGACUGCAUUGAGAGAGGGAGAAGGGUUCACUCCCCAUUGUUUUACCACAAGGCUUCAAUUUUUGUUAUACCUAGAGGAUCAAACUGACUGUUUACUGUGAAUAAACCAUGCCUGUUUACUGAUGUGCAGUCCUACCAUCAGAAUUAGUCCAUCAGUCAUCAGAUGUUUUGAGAUUUUCCUGGAUUUUGGGGAGAUGAGUUUCUGCCUGUCCUCUUAAUCUCUUAUUGUUUUCCCCUUCAGUCACUUGGCAGGAGGAUUCCCCAAAAAUGUUUCUGCAGACCAAUUCUAAAAAAGAAAGAGGCUAAAAAGUAACCGACUAUUAAAAAUAAAAUGAAAGAGCUGGGCUCUAAGAAUGACAUGAGGAACUUCCCACUCUGAGUCAUAAAGAACAGCAAAGUGCUUUUCUUCCAGUCAGCUAUAGACUUAAACUGGAUGUAAACCGAAGGCCUUUUUAUUUGCGAAGCCUUGUAACAGCCGUAGUUUUCCAAAACGUAGUUUUUGUUCAGAAGAAAAACAGUUUAGGUCUGUUUAGAUAUGAACUGCCUCAUACAUUUGGUACAGUAUUUACUAUAGAGGAGCUGUUCUUCCUAUCCUCCAGUUCCCCAAAGAGAUGAGAGAUCAGUGAUCUUAAUCUUAAUUUUAAUCCUAACCUAUUUGCCACUUGAGAUCUAUCUAGCCCAGGGGUGGGCAGCUAUGGCCCCUUUAUGACCUUUAUGACCAUGCUGGCUCGAGAAAACUGGGAGUUGAAGUCCACUGGGUAUAUAGGGGGCAUAGUUGCCUACCCCUGAUUUAGGCUAUGAUAAAUUUCAUAAUCUGAUAAGAUUUUCCAAUACAGUCUAGAUCAUAAUCUUGCAGUCUAUUUUGCAGUGCUUAUGGAUAAAAUCUGAUUUUCAGGUUCCUGUUAAAUGUAUGCACUUUUUAAAACAAAGUGCUAUAAGUAAGUAAAGCUGGUGCCAUCACAACUGGCAAGCACACUGAACUCAAUUGCACGAGGAAGCUAUUGUUGUCUAGAAGAUUUAUUAUAAAAAUGGUUAGAGAAACAUAGAUUUUUGGAAGAAAAGACAUUAGGAGGACAAGUGGGGACAUGUGUGGGUGAAGCAGGGGAUAUGUUAGGGUAGAUCUCACCUUUACAGAAGAUCUAUUAUUGACAGACAAAACACAAUUGUUUCUUGCAAAUUUCUAUUGUAUGUACAGAGCAGAAAAAUCAUUCUUUUGUUUAUAUAUCACAGCACCAUUCUUUUGUAAAUGUUUACCUUUAUUCUAUUUUUAAUUAUUUUAAAACUCCUUAGAAAUAUGAUUGUUUAUGCUCCUGUGUAAAAUAAAGUCUGAAAAGAAACAGCA